UGGGGAAUAUUGCACAAUGGGCGCAAGCCUGAUGCAGCCAUGCCGCGUGUGUGAAGAAGGCCUUCGGGUUGUAAAGCACUUUCAGCGGGGAGGAAGGCGAUAAGGUUAAUAACCUUGUCGAUUGACGUUACCCGCAGAAGAAGCACCGGCUAACUCCGUGCCAGCAGCCGCGGUAAUACGGAGGGUGCAAGCGUUAAUCGGAAUUACUGGGCGUAAAGCGCACGCAGGCGGUCUGUCAAGUCGGAUGUGAAAUCCCCGGGCUCAACCUGGGAACUGCAUUCGAAACUGGCAGGCUGGAGUCGUGUAGAGGGGGGUAGAAUUCCAGGUGUAGCGGUGAAAUGCGUAGAGAUCUGGAGGAAUACCGGUGGCGAAGGCGGCCCCCUGGACAAAGACUGACGCUAAGGUGCGAAAGGGUGGGGAGCAAACAGG
rnacentral:rRNA from 1 species